rfam:Arabis alpina cultivar Pajares scaff_56857_1_contig_0, whole genome shotgun sequence.
CAGUUAAGUGUGCUUGGGCGAGAGUAGUACUAGGAUGGGUGACCUCCUGGGAAGUCCUCGUGUUGCACCCC